rnacentral:rRNA from 1 species
AACGAACGCUGGCGGCAUGCCUAACACAUGCAAGUCGAACGAGAUCUUCGGGUCUAGUGGCGCACGGGUGCGUAACGCGUGGGAAUCUACCCUUUGGUUCGGAAUAACAGUUGGAGACGACUGCUAAUACCGGAUGAUGACGAAAGUCCAAAGAUUUAUCGCCAGAGGAUGAGCCCGCGUAGGAUUAGCUAGUUGGUGUGGUAAAGGCGCACCAAGGCGACGAUCCUUAGCUGGUCUGAGAGGAUGAUCAGCCACACUGGGACUGAGACACGGCCCAGACUCCUACGGGAGGCAGCAGUGGGGAAUAUUGGACAAUGGGCGAAAGCCUGAUCCAGCAAUGCCGCGUGAGUGAUGAAGGCCUUAGGGUUGUAAAGCUCUUUUACCCGGGAUGAUAAUGACAGUACCGGGAGAAUAAGCUCCGGCUAACUCCGUGCCAGCCGCCGCAGUAA